rnacentral:rRNA from 1 species
CCUACGUGCGGCAGCAGUGAGGAAUAUUGGUCAAUGGACGAGAGUCUGAACCAGCCAAGUAGCGUGAAGGAUGACUGCCCUAUGGGUUGUAAACUUCUUUUAUAUGGGAAUAAACUGUUCCACGUGUGGGCUUUUGUAUGUACCAUAUGAAUAAGGAUCGGCUAACUCCGUGCCAGCAGCCGCGGUAAUACGGAGGAUCGGGUCGUUAUCCGUAUUUUUUUGGUUUAAAGGUAUCGUAGGUGGAUUGUUAAGUCAGUUGGGAAAGUUUGCGGCUCAACCGUAAAAUUGCAGUUGAAACUGGCAGUCUUGAGUACAGUAGAGGUGGGCGGAAUUCGUGGUGUAGCGGUGAAAUGCUUAGAUAUCACGAAGAACUCAGAUUGCGAAGGCAGCUCACUGGACUGCAACUGACACUGAGGCUCGAAAGUGUGGGUAUCAAACAGGAUUAGAUACCCUUGUAGUC